rnacentral:snoRNA from 1 species
CCCAGCCCUCAGUCAGCUGGCAGACUGGUCUCUGUCAGUGUUACAGGGCUGGCAGAUGAAGUUCUGCAGACGCCUGCAUGCAUGCUCAGUUCUCGAGCAUGUCUGCGAUGGUCUGCAGAGUGCAGCUCUGUCAGAUCUGUCCUGAUCCUCUGCAGCUCAGACUCAGCAGAGCUGCACAUC